rnacentral:lncRNA from 1 species
UGGAGGAAAGAUGAGUGAGAGCAUCAACUUCUCUGACAACCUAGGCCAGUGUGUGGUGAUGCCAGGCAUGCCCUUCCCCAGCAUCAGGUCUCCAGAGCUGCAGAAGACGACGGCCGACUUGGAUCACAAUCUUCUCAGAGCCCAGCCAGGGGCCCCCAAGAAAGGCUCUGGUGGAGAACCUGUGCAUGAAGGCUGUCAACCAGUCCAUAGGCAGGGCCAUCAGGCACCAAAGGGAUUCUGCCAGCAUAGUGCUCCUGGAUUAGUGAUACACCCGGCACCCUGUCCUGGACAAGCUGUUGGCCUGGAUCUGAGCCCUCGUGGAGGUCAAAGCCACCUUUGGUUCUGCCAUUGCUGCUGUGUGGAAUUUCACCAGAAGUAGGCCUCUUCCUGACAGGCAGCUGCACCACUGCCUGGCGCUGCGCCCUUCCUUUGCUCUGCCCGCUGGAGACGGUGUUUGUCAUGGGCCUGAUCUGCAGGGAUCCUGCUACAAAGGUGAAACCCAGAAGAGUGUGGAGUCCAGAGUGUUGCCAGGACCCAGGCACAGGCAUUAGUGCCCGUUGGAGAAAACAGGGGAACCCCGAAGAAAUGGUGGGUCCUGGCCAUCCGUGAGAUCUUCCCAGGGCAGCUCCCCUCUGUGGAAUCCAAUCUGUCUUCCAUCCUGUGUGGCCGAGGGCCAGGCUUCUCACUGGGCCUCUGCAGGAGGCUGCCAUUUGUCCUGCCCACCUUCUUAGAAGCGAGACGGAGCAGACCCAUCUGCUACUGCCCUUUCUAUAAUAACUAAAGUUAGCUGCCCUGGACUAUUCACCCCCUAGUCUCAAUUUAAAAAGAUCCCCAUGGCCACAGGGCCCCUGCCUGGGGGCUUGUCACCUCCCCCACCUUCUUCCUGAGUCACCCCUGCAGCCUUGCUCCCUAACCUGCCCCACAGCCUUGCCUGGAUUUCUAUCUCCCUGGCUUGGUGCCAGUUCCUCCAAGUUGAUGGCACCUCCCUCCCUCUCAACCACUUGAGCAAACUCCAAGACAUCUUCUACCCCAACACCAGCAAUUGUGCCAAGGGCCAUUGGGCUCUCAGCAUGACUAUUUUUAGAGACCCCGUGUCUGUCACUGAAACCUUUUUUGUGGGAGACUAUUCCUCCCAUCUGCAACAGCUGCCCCUGCUGACUGCCCUUCUCUCCCAGAGAAACAGGUCAGCUGGGAGCUUCUGCCCCCACUGCCUAGGGACCAACAGGGGCAGGAGGCAGUCACUGACCCCGAGACGUUUGCAUCCUGCACAGCUAGAGGUCCUUUAUUAAAAGCACACUGUUGGUUU